rnacentral:tRNA from 1 species
GGGGCUGUAGGGUAGCUUGGUUAUCCUCGUGGCUUUGGGAGCCAUGGACCCCGGUUCGAAUCCGGGCAGCCCCA